rnacentral:lncRNA from 1 species
AGCAGCAGCAGCAGCAGCAACUGGAUUUGCUUUUUCACCAGAGGAUCCAGAUUUCCCUGUGGCCUCGCAAACAAAAAAGAAGGAAGACGGAGCAGCACAGUCAUUCCUUUGUGAAAAAGGCAUUCAGAGACGGGGUUUCACCGUGUUAGCCAGGAUGGUCUCGAUCUCCUGACCUCGCGAUCCGCCCGCCUCGGCCUCCCAAAGUGCUGGGAUUACAGGCGUGAGCCACCGCGCCCGGCUUCAGCUGGUUUUUCAAAAGUCAUGGCGUGUAACUGUCCGAACAGUGAACUUCGGAGAUCCACCGGAGGGGCGAGGCCACAGCUCGACCGCGAGCACCUGAGCAUCCUGCACCGCCUGCGACGGCCGUCAGGGGGCGCGAUGCCGCCUCACAGAACCUCAAGAGGCGCCCGGGUUCCGGCACAGACGGCCUGCGGCUCCAGGGGGCGGAACCGAGCCGUCUCCUCAGGACCUACGCAGGAGGCGCCGUCAUCCCUACAGGGACACCUGAGAGGGCCCAGCCUCCUCCUCCUCAGGACCUACUCGGGAGACGCCGCUGGCUCUCUAGGAACACCUGGGGACCGUGGCCAGGGACGACCCAGCCUCCUUCUCCUCAGCUCCUCAGGAACGACUGGGGAAGCUGUGGCUUCAUGGUCCCCGAGGCUGCCCGAGGAAAGGUGAGGAAAAAGCUUUCUGUCCCGGCUCAGUGCUGAGGAGGCCGCGCUGCCUCGCGCUCCACUUUCUCAAGUUGUAUUUAUUUUAUUUGACAAAGUGGCCCGUCAUUAAGUGGCUUUGCUAUUCAUUAUUGCAGCAUACCUGAGUUGUUUCAUUUUUUAAUUUUUGACCAAUUUGGGUUUGUUUGGGGUGGAUCCGGGACAGAGAAGGGAGAAACCCUGAGGGCAACAUGGAGAGCCCCAGGGAGACGCGCACCCCACGACUUGCUUUUAUUUGCGUUCCAGUGGCUCGUUUUUCUUAGAGUGUUAAAGUACUUGAAAAAUAUUGAAGAGCAGAUGUAGAUGUGAGUUUUCACAACCGUGUUUUAAGUGUAAAUACUGGAUUUUGUCUGUUAAAAGGAUUUUAGGUAAAAUAAAUUUAAGCGGAC